CAUACCUUUUGGAUUGCUCCACAAUCGAUCUAGCUUCUGCUUUGUCUUCCGGAAGAGAACCACCUUUUAAGUGAGUUAUUAUUGGGUCCAUCCAACUUGCUUCCAAGUUCUGAAUGAGAUUAACAGUCACUUCCUCCACCUCUAUCAUUGGCUGAGAUCUUUGCAUGAACGUUAUGGUCUUGGUUGAAUUUUCUUCUGUUGCCGUUGCCAGGUAAGCCAAUGCAUC
rnacentral:lncRNA from 1 species